GAUGAACGCUGGCGGCGUGCCUAAUACAUGCAAGUCGAGCGAACAGACGAGGAGCUUGCUCCUCUGACGUUAGCGGCGGACGGGUGAGUAACACGUGGAUAACCUACCUAUAAGACUGGGAUAACUUCGGGAAACCGGAGCUAAUACCGGAUAAUAUAUUGAACCGCAUGGUUCAAUAGUGAAGGACGGUUUUGCUGUCACUUAUAGAUGGAUCCGCGCCGCAUUAGCUAGUUGGUAAGGUAACGGCUUACCAAGGCGACGAUGCGUAGCCGACCUGAGAGGGUGAUCGGCCACACUGGAACUGAGACAUGGUCCAGACUCCUACGGGAGGCAGCAGUAGGGAAUCUUCCGCAAUGGGCGAAAGCCUGACGGAGCAACGCCGCGUGAGUGAUGAAGGUCUUCGGAUCGUAAAACUCUGUUAUUAGGGAAGAACAAAUGUGUAAGUAACUAUGCACGUCUUGACGGUACCUAAUCAGAAAGCCACGGCUAACUACGUG
rnacentral:rRNA from 1 species